UCUGGUUGGUUUGUUCAUGACUGUCAAUGAUCAGAGACCAUUUUGAAUGAGUUAUGAGUUUUGGGAGUGAGAGAGAGAGAGUGAAGGAGACAGACCGACAAGAGAGAGAGAGAAGGAAGGUGGGGGACAGAGAAAGUGUUUAAACGAGAGAGGGGGGUUGGAAGUCCAUCUGAAGGACCCCCUUUGCAGAAUGCCAGAGGAACAUGAGCUGAACUGCAAGAGCCCAGCAGACAAAAGACUUUUAGCCACCAAGGUGCUGGGAACAGUGAAGUGGUUCAACGUCAGAAAUGGCUACGGCUUCAUUAACAGAAAUGACACAAAAGAAGAUGUGUUUGUCCAUCAG